rnacentral:rRNA from 1 species
AUUGAACGCUGGCGGCAUGCUUUACACAUGCAAGUCGAACGGCAGCGCGGGCUUCGGCCUGGCGGCGAGUGGCGAACGGGUGAGUAAUGCAUCGGAACGUGCCCAGUAGUGGGGGAUAGCCCGGCGAAAGCCGGAUUAAUACCGCAUACGACCUGAGGGUGAAAGCGGGGGACCGAAAGGCCUCGCGCUAUUGGAGCGGCCGAGGUCGGAUUAGCUAGGUGGUGGGGUAAAGGCUUACCAAGGCGACGAUCCGUAGCUGGUCUGAGAGGACGACCAGCCAGACUGGGACUGAGACAGGUCCCAGACUCCGACGGGAGGCAGCAGUGGGGAAUUUUGGACAAUGGGGGAAACCCUGAUCCAGCCAUGCCGCGUGCGGGAAGAAGGACUUCGGGUGGUAAACCGCUUUUGUUCGGGAAGAAAUCCUCUGGGCUAAUACCCCGGGGGGAUGACGGUACCGGAAGAAUAAGCACCGGCUAACUACGUG